rnacentral:rRNA from 1 species
UAGGGAUUCUUCCGCAAUGGACGAAAGUCUGACGGAGCAACGCCGCGUGAGUGAAGAAGGAUUUCGGUUCGUAAAACUCUGUUGUUAGGGAAGAAAAAAUGUAUAGUAACUAUAUACAAAAGAGACGGUACCUAACCAGAAAGCCACGGCUAACUACGUGCCAGCAGCCGCGGUAAUACGUAGGUGGCAAGCGUUGUCCGGAAUUAUUGGGCGUAAAGCGCGCGCAGGUGGUUUAGAAAGUCUGAUGUGAAAGCCCACGGCUCAACCGUGGAGGGUCAUUGGAAACUAAUAAACUUGAGUGCAGGCGAGCAAAGUGGAAUUCCUAGUGUAGCGGUGAAAUGCGUAGAGAUUAGGAGGAACACCGGUGGCGAAAGCGGCUUUUUGGCCUGCAACUGACACUGAGGCGCGAAAGCGUGGGGAGCAAACAGG